rnacentral:rRNA from 1 species
GUAUAAAGGCAUGGCAAACGGGAGAGUAACACAUUGAUAACCUACCCUGAAGACGAGAAUAACCUUGCGAAAGUGAGAGUAAUACUCGAUAGUAUUAAAUAGCUCAAGCUAUUUAAUUAAAGUUCAGGCGCUUCGGGAGGGGUCUAUGGCCUAUCAGCUAGUUGGUAAAGGUAAUGGCUUACCAAGGCUACGACGGGUAUCGGGUGUGAGAGCAUGACCCGACUCACUGGGACUGAGAUACUGCCCAGACUCCUACGGGAGGCUGCAGUCAAGAAUAUUCCUCAAUGGACGAAAGUCUGAAGGAGCGACGCCGCGUGUACGAAGAAGCCUUUCGGGGUGUAAAGUACUUUUAUUAGGGAUGAAACAAUGACAGUACCUAAUGAAUAAGGGGCUGCUAACCUCGUGCCAGCAGCAGCGGUAAUACGAGGGCCCCAAGCGUUAUCCGGAUUUAUUGGGCGUAAAGCGUCCGCAGACGGUUUGUCGCAUCUCCUGUUAAAUCCUCUGGCUCAACCAGGGGGCUGCGGGAGAGAUGGAUAAACUAGAGACUGGAAGAGGCAAGAGGAAUUGCUGGUGUAGGGGUUAAAUCCGUUAAUAUCAGCAGGAACACUCAAUGCGAAGGCAACUCGCUGGGACAGUUCUGACGUUCAGGGACGAAAGCGUGGGGAGCGAAUGGGAUUAGAUACCCCAGUAGCCCACGCCGUAAACGAUGGAUGCUAAGUAUUGGAAGUAUCGACCCUUUCAG